GUUAGGAAUAUUGGACAAUGGGCGAAAGCCUGAUCCAGCCAUGCCGCGUGAACGAUGAAGGCCUUCGGGUUGUAAAGUUCUUUAGCCGAUGAUUAUAAUGACUGUAGUCGGAAAAUAAGCCCCGGCUAACUUCGUGCCAGCAGCCGCGGUAAUACGAAGGGGGCGAGCGUUAUUCGGAAUCACUGGGCGUAAAGCGUGCGUAGGCGGUCUCGUAAGUUAGGAGUGAAAGCCCAGGGCUCAACCUUGGAAUUGCUCUUAAAACUGCAAGGCUAGAAUCUCGGAGAGGAUAGCGGAAUUUCCAGUGUAGCAGUGAAAUGCGUAGAUAUUGGAAGGAACACCAGUGGCGUAAGCGGCUAUCUGGACGAGUAUUGACGCUGAGGCACGAAAGCGUGGGGAUCAAACAGGAUUAGAAACCCUGGUAGUCC
rnacentral:rRNA from 1 species